AAAAAAAAAAUAUGUAGUGCUGAGUUAAAAUGGCCCAUAUUAAGAAAAUUAAUGAACACUUAAAUACCCAUCAAAGAAGGGGAUGCAGAGGGUGAGUGAAGUGGAGUAGAACGCAGCAAAAUAGAGCACAAUGCCGAAUCACAUAAAUCUAUAUGUUGUUUCGCUUAUUCUGUGAGAGCCUACGUGAUUUAUUUUUGCUACAGACAUAAAUUAGUCAAUCAGAUAUCACAUGUGAAAGUCACUUAAAGUGUUUGAUGAGUUUGGUUUUAACCUUAGUUUUGUAAAUUUCACAUGAUUACAGGCACUGCUUAUAGGCAGAAGGCCUCAGGCCAAAAACUUUCCAAUCCAAUACAGAACACAAUUUACAACUGCAGCUCUUUCACUUCUAAGAGUGGAAAAACAACCAGCAGAUUAAUCAGUCUAAUCUCAGGAACAAUAAAUGACUAUCAUUUUCAAUAAAGGUCCUCUUUCAAGCUUUAGAGUGAUUUGUAGCAGCGUUUCGUCUUGCACAGCAUCCCACAAAGUAAAUAAUUGACUGGCGUUUACAGCAGCAUAUAGAAAGAAAGAUUUUUAUUUAAAAAAAAAAGGUCAAGAAAACACCAAUAUUAUGUAGAACAGAAAUAUGAAUAACAGAAUCAUUGUCAAGCUUUAUUUAAUCAAACAAACUGUUAAUGCUAACAUUUGAUGAGAAGAAUAUCUUAGUUCAAUCCAAUACACAAUGAAAACCUUUUUACUUUCAAAAUAACACAAAAGUUUAUAGUAUGUUGACAUAUUUGAUGAGAAGUAUUGACUUACCAAGACGACAAAUAAAAUCACAUUAAAGAUUGCAACCACUCUCCACUCAGUUUUCAUGUACUGUGCAACUCCAGCCUUGAAAACGUGAUUGAAAGCAAGUAUGCAGAAAAGAAAAUGGAAAACAAAAGUGGAAAACCCAUUUAAAGGUGAUCUACUUGCAGGAAUCACAAUUAUAGCAUUUGGUAGCCCACGAAUUUUUGUAAAGUUUACAGUCAUUGUUGGAGCUGACUGGGUCGAAGCUCAAAUCAUAGCACUGACAGCAGGAUAACCAUACCAUGAAGCAAGUCGAACACAAAGUAAGAUCUUAAAACUGGUUCUCAAGUUUAUCAAUAAUUUUUAAACUAUAAGCUAUAAUAUCAAAUAUUUAUAGGGUAUACACUAACUCAAUUGUUUAAAUCUUUUAUUUUUUAUUUUUAUACAACAUGAGGGGAAAAUCCAAGAUAAACUGCACAAAAGGCUCUAACUUUCAAUUUCCUUCUUUGUCUUCCAUUGGAAGUUUUACCUAGCCUGAACAAACCAGAUUGAGACUAACCAUCUUACUAAAUGGAAAUUAGGGCCCUUACAAUUCAAUGAAGAACUCAUCACUUUGAUCACAAACCAAACAAUAAGAGAUUCAAAACAAAGUUAGCCACUGACAACAAUUCGACUGAAUGGUUUUUUGCUCUUUGUUUCAUACAAAUGCAGUAUUUUUUUUUUUUUUUCCAGUAAGAUUUGUGUUCCAUGUUAUUGAGGAAGUUAGUUAGGUACCUGCAAAUUAGUCUAUUUCCUUUGUGUUCAUAGCUACAUUUAGUGUCAAUGUUUUUCUUCAACUUGAACCAUUAUUUGUUAAGCCAUAAAAUUAUUCUCUUUCCGUAUUCAACGAAAUUCCACUUAUCCAUCUUGUGAUUUAAAUUUCAUUAGUGAUCUUAGGGUUCUCUUUUCUUCUUAAAUACCAAAUAAUUGAAGACAGCAUUCAGCAUUUUCUGGAAUAUAGAAUGCUGCAUCGUCAGGAGCAGCUGUGGAUGGAAUACUGCUUUAAAGAUUAAGUCCACAACUUCAAUGUGAUUUAUGUCACUUAUGAUGCAAAAGAAGUUGAGAUUCACUGUAUAUUUUGCUUUAGGAGUUUUUUGGUUAUAAGUAAGCCAGAAGUCCUGCUAAGCUAUUAAAUUAAAGUAUUUAAUGGAGGAUUUGCUUUGCGUUUAUGCUAUUUUGUCGAUUAUCUAAUUAAUGGUUGUCCACAAUCAGGUGCAGAUUUUUCCUGAAUCCCUUUCUUCUGAACUAUUAAAUUAUAGUAGCAACAGGGUUAGUGAGAUGGUUGUUUUGGACCUGUGACUAAUUGCUUUCCCAGUUGUUGAAAAACAAACUCAAUUUGCAAAAUAUGCAAGUACAUUGAUAUGAGUUUCAAUAUUAUUAAAGUCAAUUCAAUCAUCUUAAAAGCUUAAUAAAAUACUUUCAAAAUUUUAUUACUAAGGUAUAUAAAUAUGAUUUGAUUGACAGAGUUAAGUUCUGAUUCUCAAAUUUUACAAUAAAAUUAAAUUCAAAUAAUUCCUUGUAUCAAUUCAAUUCAGCUUCAACCAACUAUAAAAGAUAGACACUCUCCUUCUUCAUUUAGUAAAAAUUAGUUUCCAUCCCAAUUCCCAAGGAUUUCUAAACUAUAAGAUAUCUAGUUUAAACUCAAAUUAUCAAACUUCUGUUAUGAUAACAAGGGGAAUAGGAAUGUGAGAAUGUACGGGAGGAAAAUGUUUUAUAAAUAAGGUUAGCAUUGUAACUAACUGGGUCAGCCAAGAAUUCAAUAAUACAAGAAUUACUUCUCUCUCUAUAAUUCUCUCUUUCUCUCUAUUUCUUAUCCCUAUUUCUUCUAUUCUCUCA
rnacentral:misc_RNA from 1 species